GAUGAAGAACGCAGCGAAAUGCGAUAAGUAAUGCGAAUUGCAGAAUUCCGUGAGUCAUCGAAUCUUUGAACGCACAUUGCGCCCUUUGGCAUUCCGAAGGGCAUGCCUGUUCGAGCGUCAUUUAUCAACCCUCAAGCCCGGCUUGCGGUUGGGUCCCGCCGUGGGCGACCACGGCGGACCCGAAAGGUAAUGGCGGUGCCCGUGGGGCCCUGGACGCAGCGAGCUUCUCGGCACGCGUCCCGGCGGUCCCCGGCGCCGUCUCCACCAAUCCACCACGCAGAUUGACCUCGGAUCAGGUAGGGAUACCCGCUGAACUUAAGCAUAUCAAUAAGCGGAGG
rnacentral:misc_RNA from 1 species